UUCUGGCUCAGGAUUAACGCUGGCGGCGUGCCUAAUACAUGCAAGUCGGAUGGUUAGCUUGCUAACCAUGGCGAACGGGUGAGUAACACGUAGGUAACCUGUCUAAGACACGAGGAUAACCAUUGGAAACGAUGGAUAAUACUGGAUAGGACAUUUGGAGGCAUCUUUGGAUGUUUAAAGAUUUAUCGGUAAUAGAGGGGCCUGCGGCGCAUUAGCUAGUUGGCGGGGUGAAGGCCCCACCAAGGCGAUGAUGCGUAGCCGGACUGAGAGGUUGAACGGCCACAAUGGGACUGAGAACGGCCCAUACUCCUACGGGAGGCAGCAGUAGGGAAUUUUCGGCAAUGGGCGGAAGCCCUGACCGAGCAACGCCGCGUGAACGAAGAAGUUAUUUCGGUAUGUAAAGUUCUUUUAUUUGGGAACGAAAAAAUUAAAAUUGACUGUACCAAAUGAAUAAGCUCCGGCUAACUACGUGCCAGCAGCCGC
rnacentral:rRNA from 1 species